CCAGUAUCUCCCUCCCUCUACCCCGACCCCAGGCUGCCUAGUUCUGCUCUUCAGGUCAGUCUGGAUCCCCAUGCUCCUGUAUCUGCUGGUCCUGUGCCAUGCUAUAGGGCUAGAGACAAGAGACUCCUGAGAAACACAGAGUAGUGAAGCUUGGUCUGAAUGUCUAUUCUUGGUCACCCCAAUAGUUCCUGUCCUCCAAGGUAGUCAUCAUCCAUUAACCUUUAGGGGAUUCCUGACGGCUCCCGGACCCACAGACCUACAGAGGUUGAACCUACGACCUGAGUCAAGUAGUCUAGUAGUAAUCAGUUUAGUCCUGUCUGAUUUGCUUCUGCUGCCUGAAGGAUCUAGAACCGGAAGGGUCCUUUCUUUUUCCCCAUUCCAUCUCAUUAAAGGCUUUGGGGUGCAGCAAAACAGAUUGUAUUAUUGCACAAGGGCACGACUCAGAAAUCCUCCAUGCUCUGUGCCUGCUGAACUGAACACACUAAAUGAAGGGUCCCUUUUCCUAAUCACCACAGAGGCUCCCUGGGGGCUGGCAGAGGUCCUGCCCUGAAGCACAGCAAGAAGCCCAUGGAAAUAAAAGGCUCAAGGAGGACCGUCCAUGGCUGAGUCACGUGGCAGAGAAAGCUUCCACUAAAGACGGUUCUUCAAAACUGCUCAGAUGGAGCAGGGGCCAGGAACAAUGCCGGGAGAGCUGAGCUCAGAGUGCCAUGGAGGCAGACGGUCUUAGGGGAGAGGAGUGCCAUGCCCCAGAAAACCUCAGUGCCCAGACUAAGCAGAUAAGAAGGGUCAAGGCCAAGAACUCUCAGGACACCCGUGGGAUGAGGGCGGAAAUGAGUCCUUCAAAACUCAAACCAGACCUGCGAGAAGAUGAACCUCGUCUGCCUGCUGCUGUGCUUGUUCCAGCCCCGGUGAAGGGGUGAGAGUUUCCUAUCCUCCCAGAGGAGCUGGACCCCUGGCUGCCCCCUCCCUUCCC